UUUAUAGUUCUGUCAUCUAUCUGACAAGAAAACAAGUAUCUAACAUCUUCAGAUGUCCCAAAGACUCCAAAGUGAGUUCAUGUGGAGAAAAAAAUUGUUUCUGUUAUCUCUAUAAGAAACAUAGUUGGUUUCUUAGUUAGACCUGAAAGUAUUUUCUAUUCAUGGAGUAGACCAUCAUAUUACCCACUAUAUGCACUGAGGAACUUGGCAGACCCUAACGUCAGCUAGAGAGUCAAAGCCUUUUAGCCCAUCUGGUAGCAAAGCCCCAUGCCAUACAAACUCGUGUCAUGUAGCUGGGACAGGCCGUGUUCCUGGGUGGAGCAUCCUCCUGCACUCCCUCCUACUCUGGCCCCUGCUGACUUCAGGGCGGUGUCCCAUGCCCAGCCUAUACCCCUAUAGUUCAGUAUCGAUGGGCAAGCAAGGUUGUCACAACAAUGUCAUGUUAAUACAUUGUGGAGGUAUAGUUGAACAAAAAUAUAAAGAUCAAGGUGAGAACAGGUGGAGCACUUGGUGCACAUCUUCAUCAACUGGAGGAUUUUCUUUCUUUUUCUGUAAUGAAGUCCAUCCCAAGAACCUCAGAAGGGUACAGAUGUCACAUCCUUUAGGAAUUAUGAAAAACCCUAAUUCUGACUGUUGAUACCCAGAGGUAGAGCAGGUCAGUGACAGGAGACCAGAGAGCAAGCCAGACUGUCUACUGUUGAUGACUAUGCCCAGGUCCAGUGGAAGUCUCUGCAGGAAGGGUAUGAGCAGCUGCCAGUGAUAGACAUCACAUUUUUUUCCUGCCUGACUUCUGUGUGAACGUUAAGUCUUCCGCCCUCCAGAAAAUCCUUUACAUGAAGAAAAUAAAGUGCAAGUGUAUCCCCCUCACCAAAGGGCCCAGGAAGAUACAACUCCCUAUGGGAAUAAACCUCACUGUAGGAGUGAAGGCCACAAAUGACGGAGUGAUGACUCGAGAAGAGAGAUGACUAGCUUAGUAUCCUGAGUUGAAGUCCAACAAUUUUCAAGGUUCUAAUGAAAAAUCCAAACCUUUAUUCUCAUUUCGAUGGACCUUAGAUCAUGCUCUGGACAACUUUCAUCAUCCCAUCUGGAUUACACAAUGCCCUAGAAAAGGAUGACAAUAAUUCAUGCAAUUGUUGGAACUAUAUGCCUUGCGUGUCCUUUGUUAGUCAGGGGUUAUGAACCAGCAUUCAAAAUGAGACACAUCCUGUGCAGCUCUGAACAGCCUAUUCCCAGGUUAUGAAAAACAUAUGAAUGGCCAGGUCAUCCUUGUUUUCCAAUUUAGUCAUCACAGAGAGCAAACUGUUUUAGAGGAAGCUAGUGACUUUAUUACUGAGGAAAGUCCUGAAAUAAGGAGUGUAAUAACAAAAGGAGGACAUUUAUAGUAGCAUUUGUGUUUGUGUCUCUCUAUAUUAAAAUGGUAAUUUUUUAAAUGUUGGCAAUCUGCUGAGGAAAUAAUUUAUAACUUCAACUAAACAUAUAAAAUAGUGACGUUGAAGAUAUAAGCAAUGACAUCAUAAGUUACUGUUUUUGUUUGGAUUGUAUUACCACACUACAGAGAACUGUUGAGAAUCUCAAGGUGGAUGGUGAUGAGUUAGUUAUGAAGGAGCCAACUGUGUCUAAACAGAGUAUACCACAUGGGGUUCUAAUGAAAAAGAUGUGUACUUCAUAAUUAUUGAACCUUUCAAGUAAUUGACUGCAUCUGAGAAAAUUUGAAAACAUAAUAAGGAAAAAUAAUGACAUGGGAGCAGAGUUCAAAUAACACAGUUGAUAUCUAGCAUUCAAGGGGAAGAAGUGAUUGUGAGAAUAUUCUAUGUUUUACGCAAAUUUUAUCUGUUUUUUAAGACUCAGAAAGUAAGAAUACAAGUAUCUUCAAGAAAAGCAAAAUGGAAAUUGAUACAAAAGGAAAAUUUUAAUUGUAACAUGUCUCAGAAUUUAAUAAAAGUCAUGAAUAACUUCUAAAUCUUUUUUUAUAAUCAAUGCAGAAUUAUAUUUCUUCCAAGAUCACUUGAAAUUAAGGUCAUCAAGCAUUUAAGAAUUCAUUUUUAAAUCCAGAGAGUUAUACUAUAGCCCAGGUAACAGUCUUCAAAAUAUCCAUUGCAUUUCAUUAAGUAUUUGAAGAAUCAUUCUAUUUAUCUUGCUAUUAACUAGUGCCUUGAACACAUGAAUGGAUAGACCAGGUAUGUAUUUUGUUUGUUUUUUUGGCAGAUUUUAAGCAGAUUCUACUUUUAUUCUUAUAAAUAAGCACUUAUUUAUAUAAAUAAGCUCUAACUAUAUACAAAAAAGAUUACUCAGACCAACUGUGGUGAUGUUCCUCAACAGCAAUUUUCCAUAGUGAAGCUGAAAAUAAAUAAAUAAAUAAAUAAAAAAG